rnacentral:rRNA from 1 species
AGCUUGCUGCUUCGCUGACGAGUGGCGGACGGGUGAGUAAUGUCUGGGAAACUGCCUGAUGGAGGGGGAUAACUACUGGAAACGGUAGCUAAUACCGCAUAACGUCGCAAGACCAAAGAGGGGGACCUUCGGGCCUCUUGCCAUCGGAUGUGCCCAGAUGGGAUUAGCUAGUAGGUGGGGUAACGGCUCACCUAGGCGACGAUCCCUAGCUGGUCUGAGAGGAUGACCAGCCACACUGGAACUGAGACACGGUCCAGACUCCUACGGGAGGCAGCAGUGGGGAAUAUUGCACAAUGGGCGCAAGCCUGAUGCAGCCAUGCCGCGUGUAUGAAGAAGGCCUUCGGGUUGUAAAGUACUUUCAGCGGGGAGGAAGGGAGUAAAGUUAAUACCUUUGCUCAUUGACGUUACCCGCAGAAGAAGCACCGGCUAACUCCGUGCCAGCAGCCGCGGUAAUACGGAGGGUGCAAGCGUUAAUCGGAAUUACUGGGCGUAAAGCGCACGCAGGCGGUUUGUUAAGUCAGAUGUGAAAUCCCCGGGCUCAACCUGGGAACUGCAUCUGAUACUGGCAAGCUUGAGUCUCGUAGAGGGGGGUAGAAUUCCAGGUGUAGCGGUG